CUCCUCGUAGAGGUUCAGUCUUACACAUCUCCUAAUGUAAAAGUAUCUCCAGAUGUCAUAAGAGAGUCAAGCUCAGUGAAGAUCAGCUGUGAGACACCAGCAGAUGUUACAGUGGAUCAGUGUUAUUUCAACUCAAACAAAGAACAGAAGAAUAUAAAAGUCAGUUCAUCAUGUGAGCUGGAUGGGCAGCUGUAAAGUCACCUGAAUCACUCAAUAUUUACUGUUACUACACAAUACAUGAGAGAGGCAUCAAUAAACCAUCGUCUGAUUCUCCUCCUGCCACAGUGACACUUCUAGGUUCUCUUCAGAAACCCUUCAUCAGUGUCAGUGACGAUGAUGACUUGCUCUUCAUAGCGUGUGAAAUACCACUUUCAGUCAGAGCUGAUUUCAUCUGUAGUCUCUACACUGAGGAUGAUGCUCUUCUUUAUCAAAGUGUUUCUCAGAGGACUCUGUGUGUUUUUUUUGGGUCAUAGUGAACUCUUGACACGAUCAGUGAACAGCAG
ensembl:lncRNA